AUGCCUUUUCUUCUCACAACCUCCUGCACCACUUUCCAAUGCCUUACCAAGAAGGUAAAUUCCAAACACAGAAGUAAAAGAAUUGCUCUGGGAAGAGGUAAUAAAUGCAGCAAAAGAGUUUCAGGACCUUGUCAAGUUACAUUCCAAAGGGAUGGAUCAAGCCAAAUAUAUACAGAUGGAGCCCCCUUUCACACCUGCUGUUUAGCUCUAAUCUGUGCCUCCGCUGAGCCCAAAGCCCCACAGUUCAGGAUUCUGAAAGGCAGACCAUGUUCCAUGUGGUCCACAGUCCUGUCUGGAUGCUGCCAGGUCAUAACCUGGUCUCUGCAAUUUCUCCUUUUCCAGAGCAGUACGUUAGUAACAUAUUGUCCUUGGCAUCACCUGGCACAGUGCUUCUCAACAUGCAGAGUCCUGGACUAGCAACAUCAGCAUCAGCUAGGAAUCAUUAGAAAUGGAAAUUACAGGACCUCAAUUCAGUCCUACUGAAUCAGAAACUCCUUGAGUAUGGAGCUUAACAAACUCACCAGCGAAUUCCGAAGCCCAUUAAAUUUUGAGAACCACUGAACUUAACAUCUGACUAGCCGUGUAACCUGGGAAAAAUUAUUUAAUCAAAGUCUAAAUGAUCUCAUAUGUAAAAUGGAGAUAUAACUGCAUAAACUUCAUAGCAUUGUUAUUAGGAAUAAAUGAACUAAUACAUAUGAAGGAUUUAACA
rnacentral:lncRNA from 1 species